rnacentral:rRNA from 1 species
CCUACGGGGCGCAGCAGUGAGGAAUAUUGGUCAAUGGGCGGAAGCCUGAACCAGCCAAGUCGCGUGAGGGAAGAAGGCCCUGCGGGUCGCAGACCUCUUUGGACGGGGAGCAAGGCCGCCGACGUGUCGGCGGAGGGAGAGUACCCGUAGAACAAGCAUCGGCUAACUACGUGCCAGCAGCCGCGGUAAUACGUAGGUGGCAAGCGUUAUCCGGAUUUAUUGGGCGUAAAGCGAGCGCAGGCGGUUGCUUAGGUCUGAUGUGAAAGCCUUCGGCUU